CGGGUGAGUAACGCGUGAGGAACCUGCCUUGUACUGGGGGACAACAGUUAGAAAUGACUGCUAAUACCGCAUAAGCGCACAGUAUCGCAUGAUACAGUGUGAAAAACUCCGGUGGUACAAGAUGGACCCGCGUCUGAUUAGCUAGUUGGUAAGGUAACGGCUUACCAAGGCGACGAUCAGUAGCCGACCUGAGAGGGUGACCGGCCACAUUGGGACUGAGACACGGCCCAA
rnacentral:rRNA from 1 species